AACAAUAUCUUGUUAAGGUUUCAGUCUUUAUGGGUUAUUCAGAAUGUUUGUUUUCAUAUUUUUUGAUAUUAGAUGUUAAAGAUUCAAUCUUUAUGAUUUGUUGACAAUUUUUGAUUUUGGGUAUCCUUAUUUUUUUACCGAUGUUCUUUUGAUUUGGAUGACUGCUUUAUUAAGUUUCAGCUCUCAUUAUGCACGUUACGUAUUCGCUGAAAUUCUUUCCACAUAAAGACUCUGGUUACAACCACCAUAAAUAUCCUUUGAAAAGCAUUUACUAUAAUCAUUUUCCUGUGUAUAUUCUGGUCAUAUACACUGAGUUUUAGAGCUGAAAGUAUCUUUGAAUUUGAUGAAGAAAAGGCUAUGUUUGAGACAAGAUAAAUAAAAUUCUUGUUGAGAAUUCUUGUUGUGAUUGAUGUAAUAUGUGCUUAGGUAAAUAAGUAUAAAUGUGAAAAUAUAUGUUUUUGUGUAUAAGGUGAGUUUUAGUUUUUAGUCAAAGAAUUGUGGAUGUAUAUGAAAGUUGGUCUAUGGAAAGGUGUAAUGUCCAAGUCUUUGAUCUAAGUGUUUCCAUAUGAGAAAUAUAUAAAGAACUAAAACAAGAAGGAAAUUUUUUUUGAAUAAUUUGGAUGAAUAGGUUGUAUAAUUAAGGGAUUGGGGUAUUGAAUUCAACUAGAAUGUUUAAUGGUGAUAGAAUGAAGAUUUUUGAACGUUUUUGCGAGGUGGUAUUAGAUUUAGCAGCAAUUUAGAUUGAGGUUUAAGAUCGCUUAAAUGAGUUAUAGAAAUUAGUAGUAAGUAUUUUUGCUUUUCUAGUGAGAUGGUGAUAUAUGGUAGACUAAAUAUAAAAGAACAGAUUCUUUUUUAGAUCUUCGGCGAUCUGUGCAGUUCUCCAUAGAACUAUGUUACUGGUUGUUGUGUGUGUGCUUAGAUAAAUAUGCAUAGAUAUGGGAUUAUUUUUCCUAGUUAAGGAGUUGCUUCUGGAGGUUAUUGGUUUCAAGGUUGUGGUUGUGGAUAAAUAUGCAAAUUGGUUUCUAAAAAGGUGUAAAGUCUGUGCACGAAGAUAAUGAUGAAAGAGUUGUUGUACGAGUAUGGUGUCGAUUUAAUCUUCAAUGGACACACAAGUACAAGACUAAUAUAUCAAUAUACGAGAGCACAUAAACUACUUUGUAUCAUUCUAGGUGCAGAAAGAUGAAUGUUCAUUUUGUUGUUUUAUCAUAACCACAUAUCUAUGUAUCAAAUAUUGAUAAAUUAAAGGAAUCUACAAGUUCAUGCCUAUGAAAGGACUAACAGAAUCUAUAACUACAAACUGGAUUCUUGCGGUCCAGUUUAUAUAACUGUCAGUGAUGGUGGAAACCAUGAGAAGGUGGCCAUAGAACGUGCUAAUGAGCUUAGAAAAUGUUCUGAACAAGCUAGCACACCGAACAAAUUUAUAGGCAGAUUUUGUGCCUAUAAUUUGACAUUAGGUCUAGCAGUUGGCAACUUCUGUUGGGAUCAAUAACCUGAAAAUAGUACAUAUAGUGAAAGUAGCUACGGACAUAGAAUACUCGAGGUAAAUAUAUAUCUCUAGCAUCGCAAACUGCUAAUCACAUACUUGAUACAAUGGUCCACUCAAUUCUGCAAAAAAUCAGUUCACAUCCAAUCUCCACAAAUCACAACACCACAAAGAUUUUCCAAGAUGUUGCUAUAGACAAUAUGAAGCAACAAUUGUUUAUCUGAUUCGACGAGUGUUUCACUGUUAGAACAUAUGUUAUUCCAAACAAUCUUGUAUUUUUAGAGCAUGUUUUAAUUUCACAUAAUAUUUAUUUCUUGUUAUUUCAGAGAUCAGAGCCUCUAAAUCAUUUGACACGUCUUAUUUACUUUGCUUUGUUUGAUGAAUGGUCCUCCAGUCCUCUGUGGAGUUAUUUAAAUUCUUGUGUCUCUUCUUAGGUGUAGUGCUACUGGUUAGUGUUGUCCUUGUUAUCUAUUUUGGUGACAUACUUGCUUGUACUGCUGCUAAGGUUAGUAACUAAGAUUUCAGGCAACGGCAGAGAUAACUUAAAUUUUAAUUUUUUUAUAGCAGUCUUGUUGUUAGAAGCAUUAUCAAAAGCAAUACAUCAUAUUUUAUUUUCGAUACCAUAAAAUCCGGCAACUUUAAUAAUAAAAUCAGCAAUAAAAUCUCUAGUAUGUUUACGAUCUUCAUCAUAUAAAAAAGCAAGAAUACGUUUUUGCAUCACAAAAUUACUAUCCAUCCAGUGACAAGUAAAGGUUAAAUAAUCAUUUUUAUUUACAGCACGAUCAAGAUCAGAAGUUAGGGUUAAUCUACCUUGAAUAUUUUUAACAAUGUUAAUAAAUAAAAACAAUAUUGUGAAUGAAGUCUAAAAAUAUCAGAUCGACAAGUACUUUUAGGAACACCAUUAAACAUAGGACUAUAAAUUGCUUGAAUAUAAUGAAUAAAGGCAUCAGAAGAAGAAAAACUAAAAGGCAAACAAUCCACUGCUACCAUUUUAGCUAUUUUUUUUCGGUCCCUCAAUUUAUUAUACUUCUUCGUUACCUGACCGGUUGCUGGGUUCAUUCUAGUUUGCGUUCGCCCACGAACGUCCCCACCACCUCGUGCAAUAUUUAAUUCUCUUUCGUGAGCAUCACCUAUAUGUCUCAUUAACGUACCCGUAGCCCCUUGCUUGCCUCCACUUUUAUGCUUAUAUAUUUAUUGACAAAUAUUGCAUUGCACCUCAGUAUCUGAUAUACGUUCAAAAAAUUGUCAUGCAAUACUAGUUAUUUUACGAGCUCUUGGGGCUUGGGGAGGACGGGAAGGGAGAUUAACCGAUUCAGAUCUGACGUUAGCAUUUCCUCCUGCGGAUGUUUCACCAAUAUUUUCAUCAUCUUCGUCUAAAUUAACCGCAUCUACUUCAUUUUCUUCUUCUAUACCGUAAUUUUCCUGAGCUUCUACAUAAUCCAUAUCUUGAGCACCUACACCUAAAGGUACGUCUACUUCUUUCUCAAAAGGUUGAUUAAGCGGUGUCGGAGGCACACGGAUAUAUCUACUACUUGAACUACCUCUACCGCUAGUAAUUUACUUUUUACUACCACGACCGCUUUCGAGACAAAAAAUUUUAACACCUUUAGUAGCGAGGUUUCUUAAUUUAUCCAUAAUAUAAAUUAAACUAAAAAAAUUCAAAAUACACAAAUAUAUUAAAAUUAAAUAUUCAACAAUUGAUACACUAAAUAAAAAUUAAACUUAAGAGAUAGAACGACAAUACCAAAUUUUGGAAGUAUCCGAAGGUUGCGACAUUAGAAACUUUCACCCGUACUUUGUAAUCGCAAAAUUAAAAAAUUAAAGUGAGCACUUUAGGAAAUUAAAUUUAUAGAAUAUUUGAGAAUUGGGAAUUGAAAAUUGAGAUUUAAGAGAAUGAGAUUUGAGAGAAUUAAAAAUUGUGUGAAAAAUGAUUUGAAGGUGUAUGGUAUUGGGAUUAAAAAAUAAUUUUAAACGUAAUUUUUUUUUUUAAUUAAUGGGCCCAAACUAGCUAUUUGUACCCAAAAACGGCUAUAUAGCCGUUGGGCCAACGGUUAGUUUGGCUCAAAAUCUAAAAGUUAAAAAAAAAAAAAAGUAAAAUUGAGCUAGGUUAAUUGGGUCCAAAACAAAAAAAAAUGGUCCGGUACCCGAUAUCCUAAAGCCCUUGAACUUAUCGGGCCGAUUUCAUUAAAUGGGCCGCCCGGCCCGUUUGACAGGCUUAGGUUAGUUUCUCACAUUUUACUUUCUCGGAUAGUAGAUGAUAUAGUAUAGAUACCUAACAAGCAGCUAUUUUUCGUGAACAGUCCCAUGGGUUACCAUAUGGAAUCCAAAAAAGAUUUCGCAUUAUUAUUCAUGUAUUGUACAAGCUGUAGUUUUCUAGAUUAUUCUCCGUGAUAUAGAGUAAAAGGUUUCUAAUUCACAAUAUUGAAUACGCGCUUCAAAUUCUAAAGCGUAUUAGCUUGGUAUCUUCGAGUGAUACUGCAGAUAAUCAUAUAAGGCGAUUUUUUGUGUUCUACAUUUUCCUCGCAUGAGUUCUCAUUAUAGUUGUACCAUCAUGGAUGCAGCUUGUUCAAGAUUUUCAUGUGCACCCUUUUCUAUGGUAAGCCUUUGUCGGGAACUUUUUUUUGUUUUUGGAUAAUUACAGAUAUUAUGCUGCAUAUUGUUGUUAUGUUUGCGUGAUUUGGUUAAUGGAAGUUUAGUGGUUUGUAGGGAUGAUUUACACUUGUGCUAGAUAAUUAGGCUUUUUAAAUCGAAAGUGCAAGCAUGUGAUGGACCUUGAUAAACAUGUGGAGAUUUGAUCCUUUAUAAAUAAAUGUUGCAUGACCUCCGGUUAGGCAAGAAGCUGGUUGUAGUGUAUAUCUGAAAAAGAUGAUAUGCAUGUUCAUAAUAGGGUGCAGAAGUGUCAUGACUGAAGUUAUGUACCUACAUAAUAAUAUACUAUUUAAUAUGUGCUGAGGUAUUAAUUGGCACAGGCAUUGAAUCUUAUGGUGCAGGAGUGUGAAUCAAUAGUGACAGAAGAACCACCACAUACAAUGUUGAUACCAAUUGAGUAUUUCCUCGUGGGAUAUGGACUAUACAGACCUAAUCAGUUCAGUGGCAGCCCAAGGAGUCCUCUUAGUCCAUUAUGUCUGGAACAUGCAAGACUUAAGGCCAGACUUGAGAUUUUUGAAAGGAAUCAAAAGUACACACAUGCUCGUCGCGCCCUAUUUCGAAUCGGUCGAAACAGCACGCAAUAUGUGGUGGCUAGUGUCGUGACUCUUGGGUUUUGAAAAUUUAUUUUUUAGAGUCGCCACCUAACUUUUUAAAAAAAUUAGAAAAAAACCAUUUUUUAUGUAGAAAACUCUGUUUUGGUCU